GAAAUGCGAUAAUUAAUGUGAAUUGCAGAAUUCCGUGAAUCAUCGAGUCUUUGAACGCACAUUGCGCCCCCUGGUAUUCCGGGGGGCAUGCCUGUCCGAGCGUCAUUGCUGCCCUCAAGCACGGCUUGUGUGUUGGGCUUCCGUCCCUGGCAACGGGGACGGGCCCAAAAGGCAGUGGCGGCACCAUGUCUGGUCCUCGAGCGUAUGGGGCUUUGUCACCCGCUCCCGUAGGUCCAGCUGGCAGCUAGCCUCGCAACCAAUCUUUUUAACCAGGUUGACCUCGGAUCAGGUAGGGAUACCCGCUGAACUUAAGC
rnacentral:misc_RNA from 1 species